UUCCCAUCUGUGGUGAUCUUCCUCUU
rnacentral:piRNA from 1 species